rnacentral:rRNA from 1 species
CCUACGGGAGGCAGCAGUGAGGAAUAUUGCACAAUGGGGGAAACCCUGAUGCAGCGACGCCGCGUGAGUGAAGAAGUAUUUCGGUAUGUAAAGCUCUAUCAGCAGGGAAGAAAAUGACGGUACCUGACUAAGAAGCCCCGGCUAACUACGUGCCAGCAGCCGCGGUAAUACGUCGGGUGCAAGCGUUAUCCGGAUUUACUGGGUGUAAAGGGAGCGUAGACGGCAGAGCAAGUCUGAAGUGAAAGCCCGCGGCCCAACUGCGGGACUGCAUUUGAAACUGCCAGGCUAGAGUGCUGGAGAGGUGAGCGGAAUUCGUGGUGUAGCGGUGAAAUGCGUAGAUAUUAGGAGGAACUCCAGUGGCGAAGGCAGCUUACUAAACUGCCACUGACAUUGAUGCUCGAAAGUGUGGGUAUCAAACAGGAUUAGAUACCCUGGUAGUC